CAGUGUACCCGCGGCAAGACGGAAAGACCCCGUGAACCUUUACUAUAGCUUGACACUGAACAUUGAGCCUUGAUGUGUAGGAUAGGUGGGAGGCUUUGAAGUGUGGACGCCAGUCUGCAUGGAGCCGGCCUUGAAAUACCACCCUUUAAUGUUUGAUGUUCUAACGUGGACCCGUGAUCCGGGUUGCGGACAGUGUCUGGUGGGUAGUUUGACUGGGGCGGUCUCCUCCUAAAGAGUAACGGAGGA
rnacentral:rRNA from 1 species